rnacentral:rRNA from 1 species
UACGUAGGUGGCAAGCGUUGUCCGGAUUUACUGGGCGUAAAGAGCGCGCAGGCGGUCGUUCAAGUCGCGUGUGAAAGCCCCCGGCUCAACUGGGGAGGGUCACGCGAUACUGAUCGACUGGAAGGCAGGAGAGGGUAGUGGAAUUCCCGGUGUAGUGGUGAAAUGCGUAGAUAUCGGGAGGAACACCAGUGGCGAAAGGCGACUACCUGGCCUGUUCUUGACGCUGAGGCGCGAAAGCUAGGGAGCAAACGGGGAUUAGAAACCCCGUGAGCCAGGAACCAC